rnacentral:piRNA from 1 species
GAACAAUGUCCAUAGAGGUUACAACUGC